rnacentral:rRNA from 1 species
UCACACUGGCCGCUCGGUCUUGUCACAGCCUAACACAUGCAAGUCGAACGGCAGCACAGGAGAGCUUGCUCUCUGGGUGGCGAGUGGCGGACGGGUGAGGAAUACAUCGGAAUCUACUCUGUCGUGGUGGGAUAACGUAGGGAAACUUACGCUAAUACCGCAUACGACCUACGGGUGAAAGCAGGGGAUCUUCGGACCUUGCGCGAUUGAAUGAGCCGAUGUCGGAUUAGCUAGUUGGCGGGGUAAAGGCCCACCAAGGCGACGAUCCGUAGCUGGUCUGAGAGGAUGAUCAGCCACACUGGAACUGAGACACGGUCCAGACUCCUACGGGAGGCAGCAGUGGG